rnacentral:rRNA from 1 species
UACAUGGGGUGCAAACGUUGCUCGGAAUUAUUGGGCGUAAAGCGCGCGUAGGCGGUUACUUAAGUCGGAUGUGAAAGCCCUCGGCUUAACUGAGGAAGUGCACCCGAAACUGCCUUGCUAGAGUAUGGGAGAGGGAAGUGGAAUUUCCGGUGUAGCGGUGAAAUGCGUAGAUAUCGGAAGGAACAUCAGUGGCGAAGGCGACUUCCUGGACCAAUACUGACGCUCAGGUGCGAAAGCGUGGGGAGCAAACAGG